rnacentral:rRNA from 1 species
GACGAGCGCUGGCGGCGUGCCUAAUACAUGCAAGUUGAGCGCUGAAGGUUGGUACUUGUACCAACUGGAUGAGCAGCGAACGGGUGAGUAACGCGUGGGGAAUCUGCCUUUGAGCGGGGGACAACAUUUGGAAGCGAAUGCUAAUACCGCAUAAAAACUUUAAACACAAGUUUUAAGUUUGAAAGAUGCAAUUGCAUCACUCAAAGAUGAUCCCGCGUUGUAUUAGCUAGUUGGUGAGGUAAAGGCUCACCAAGGCGAUGAUACAUAGCCGACCUGAGAGGGUGAUCGGCCACAUUGGGACUGAGACACGGCCCAAACUCCUACGGGAGGCAGCAGUAGGGAAUCUUCGGCAAUGGACGAAAGUCUGACCGAGCAACGCCGCGUGAGUGAAGAAGGUUUUCGGAUCGUAAAACUCUGUUGGUAGAGAAGAACGUUGGUGAGAGUGGAAAGCUCAUCAAGUGACGGUAACUACCCAGAAAGGGACGGCUAACUACGUG